rnacentral:lncRNA from 1 species
UAUCCAAUCCAAUUGGCAUGCAGAGGAGUCCGGAGAGACAUAAUAAACUAUAAAUGUGGUAUUUGCCUAUGCAAAAGGGCAUAGCCUACUGACCAAGUAUAAGAGUGUUGACGAACCAUGUAGCCCAAAAGACUAAAAUCAGAACAUUGCCAGCAAAUUCACUGAGCCAAGCAUGGUUGCCACUAGAAAGUACCAAAAUAUAUUGCAUCAGGAGCCCCCAACAGUG